UUCAACGAGUCUGAGGACAGACCAGACGCCAGAGGACUGCUGCUCAGCACCAAGCAGCUGAUCAUCGAUGUCAUCAGGACGCAGUCAGGUGACUCUCUGACAGACAUGCUGAGAACCUCUGUGUCACAUGACCAGGAAGUGUGUCAUGAUUGGCUGAUGCAGCGGCGAGCUCGGCAGGACGCCCGCACGCCUGACAAGAUGAAGAGGAACAAGUCG